rnacentral:rRNA from 1 species
AGGGUUUCCGCCCUUCAGUGCUGCAGCUAACGCAUUAAGCACUCCGCCUGGGGAGUACGACCGCAAGGUUGAAACUCAAAGGAAUUGACGGGGGCCCGCACAAGCGGUGGAGCAUGUGGUUUAAUUCGAAGCAACGCGAAGAACCUUACCAGGUCUUGACAUCCUUUGACCACUCUAGAGAUAGAGCUUCCCCUUCGGGGGCAAAGUGACAGGUGGUGCAUGGUUGUCGUCAGCUCGUGUCGUGAGAUGUUGGGUUAAGUCCCGCAACGAGCGCAACCCUUAUUGUUAGUUGCCAUCAUUCAGUUGGGCACUCUAGCAAGACUGCCGGUGACAAACCGGAGGAAGGUGGGGAUGACGUCAAAUCAUCAUGCCCCUUAUGACCUGGGCUACACACGUGCUACAAUGGGAAGUACAACGAGUUGCGAAGUCGCGAGGCUAAGCUAAUCUCUUAAAGCUUCUCUCAGUUCGGAUUGCAGGCUGCAACUCGCCUGCAUGAAGCCGGAAUCGCUGUAUCG